rnacentral:tRNA from 3 species
GGGAUUAUAGUUAAAUUGGAAUAACAAUUGGUUGUCAUCCGAUAAAUACGGGUUCAAUUCCCGUUAAUCCCG